rnacentral:rRNA from 1 species
UACGAAGGGGGCUAGCGUUGUUCGGAAUUACUGGGCGUAAAGCGCGCGCAGGCGGUCUUCCAAGUCAGUGGUGAAAGCCCGGAGCUCAACUCCGGAACUGCCAUUGAAACUGUAAGACUUGAGGAUGACAGAGGUGAGUGGAAUUCCCAGUGUAGAGGUGAAAUUCGUAGAUAUUAGGAAGAACACCAGUGGCGAAGGCGGCUCACUGGCCCGGUACUGACGCUGAGGCGCGAAAGCGUGGGGAGCAAACAGG